ensembl:lncRNA
GUUAGACUUUAGCAGGCUUUAAGCUGGAAGGGACACCCUCAUUUUACAGACGGGGUAACUGGGGGAGAAUAACCAUCAGACAACUAUUGUAAACAGUGCCAGUCUGGGUAUAUGACUCUAGGCUAGCCAGUGCCUGGCACAAAGAUUCUGAGGCUGAAUUUUACUUGACUCAUUCUCCCUAAGUCUGCAAUGAGGAUGAAAAGCAAGAUAAGACAAGAAGACGCGCGCUUGAGGGGAAAUCAUCAAAACAUGUUUGGACCUAACGUGGUGGGGAAAUGUGGGGAAGGCUGAUGGAGAGCCUUGUGGUCGGAGCUUUCAGAUGCCAGUGUCUCACAUUCCCAAGAAUCCAGACUGUUUUCCAUCUAUUCCUGUUGAGUAAGGGCACUCUCCCUCCUGAGCUUCCUUCCAGCCUAAACUCCUCUCCUCUCCCUUCCUUUUUCACAUUUCACAAUGAGGCCCCCAUUAAAUAUUCAUCAAAUGAAUGAAUGAACAACCUUUAGCCCCUUUCAUGUAACUGAAUUCAAUAGAAAGUCAUAAAACUACUCUUUCUUUAAAAAAAAACAACAAAAGGCAUUUCCGGAUCUAGAACAGGUCAUGUUCCAAAACUUUAUUCUUAAGUCAGUUUUUUUGUAAGUUUCCAGGCCCUUUUCUGCAUAGAAUUGGCCUUAACCAUUCUGUGGAGGUUCCCAGGCCAAUCAACAGAAGUCACCGCACUGAGCAUGUACACCAUUGUAGAAUACAAUCGCCUAUAGCACACAGAUCAUAGAAUGGUAGGGUUAGAAGGGACCUCAGUAUCUCGCUCAGUGCUGGGUACAAAGUAGCUAUUUGGAUACGGUGCUGAUGAGCAUAUUGAAAGGACAUGGAGCCAGGAGAUCUGUCCUCUGAGGACUUUCCAGGAUGUGACAUGCUCUCAGUCUAGGUUGGAUUUAUCAGCCCAACCCAAAGGUCCCAACAGAUUCAACAACCAAUAACAUCCAUUAAGCACCUAAUUAUAUAUAUAUAUAUAUAUAUUAUAUAUAUAUAUAUAUAUAUAUAUAUAUUAUAUAUAUAUAUAUAUAUAUAUAUAUAUAUAUAUAUAUAUAUAUAUAUAUAUAUAUGUAUAGCAUGGUGGUAGAUAUUUCAGUUUCCCCCAUUUGCAAGAUAUCAAUAAUACUAGCACCUACUUCACAGGGCUGCUGUGAGGAUCAAAUAAGAUAAUGUACAUAAAAAGCAUCUUAUCAAUGCUAGCUAUAAUGAUGAUUGUGGUAGUGGUAAUAGAGAGGUGGAUGACAGCAAUGGAGAGAUAGCGGGGGCAAAGACAGGAUGUUCAAGUCCUGUCUUUGACCCAUACUGGCUGCAUGACUCUGGACAAAUCGCUUAACCUUUCAGUGUCCCCACACAACUUUCUAAGACCAAGAUGCAUCGUUGUUUCUGAUCUACGCAGUAGAGGGAUUUUUUUUUCUUAUUUCUUUAAUCCCUCUCCAAAUCCCUUAUACCAGAGGUACCCAAACUUACUUGGCCUACUGCUCACUUAAAAAAAAAUUACUCAGUGCCCCCUUGGAAGUCUAUUUUCUUUAACUCUUUAAUGUUUUGGGCUUUUUUGAAAUUUGCAUCAUUUCAAAAAAAUAAAAUUUUUUAAAUGACUUCUCUUAAAUUUAAU